CUCCCUGAGAUUAGCGGCGGACGGGUGAGUAACACGUGGGCAACCUGCCUAUAAGACUGGGAUAACUUCGGGAAACCGGAGCUAAUACCGGAUACGUUCUUUUCUCGCAUGAGAGAAGAUGGAAAGACGGUUUACGCUGUCACUUAUAGAUGGGCCCGCGGCGCAUUAGCUAGUUGGUGAGGUAAUGGCUCACCAAGGCGACGAUGCGUAGCCGACCUGAGAGGGUGAUCGGCCACACUGGGACUGAGACACGGCCCAGACUCCUACGGGAGGCAGCAGUAGGGAAUCUUCCGCAAUGGACGAAAGUCUGACGGAGCAACGCCGCGUGAACGAAGAAGGCCUUCGGGUCGUAAAGUUCUGUUGUUAGGGAAGAACAAGUACCAGAGUAACUGCUGGUACCUUGACGGUACCUAACCAGAAAGCCACGGCUAACUACGUGCCAGCAGCCGCGGUAAUACGUAGGUGGCAAGCGUUGUCCGGAAUUAUUGGGCGUAAAGCGCGCGCAGGUGGUUCCUUAAGUCUGAUGUGAAAGCCCACGGCUCAACCGUGGAGGGUCAUUGGAAACUGGGGAACUUGAGUGCAGAAGAGGAGAGUGGAAUUCCAAGUGUAGCGGUGAAAUGCGUAGAGAUUUGGAGGAACACCAGUGGCGA
rnacentral:rRNA from 1 species